UAAGCAUAUCAAUAAGCGGAGGAAAAGAAACCAACAGGGAUUGCCUUAGUAACGGCGAGUGAAGCGGCAAAAGCUCAAAUUUGAAAUCUGGCACCUUCGGUGUCCGAGUUGUAAUUUGAAGAAGGUAACUUUGGAGUUGGCUCUUGUCUAUGUUCCUUGGAACAGGACGUCACAGAGGGUGAGAAUCCCGUGCGAUGAGAUGCCCAAUUCUAUGUAAAGUGCUUUCGAAGAGUCGAGUUGUUUGGGAAUGCAGCUCUAAGUGGGUGGUAAAUUCCAUCUAAAGCUAAAUAUUGGCGAGAGACCGAUAGCGAACAAGUACAGUGAUGGAAAGAUGAAAAGAACUUUGAAAAGAGAGUGAAAAAGUACGUGAAAUUGUUGAAAGGGAAGGGCUUGAGAUCAGACUUGGUAUUUUGCGAUCCUUUCCUUCUUGGUUGGGUUCCUCGCAGCUUACUGGGCCAGCAUCGGUUUGGAUGGUAGGAUAAUGACUAAGGAAUGUGGCUCUACUUCGGUGGAGUGUUAUAGCCUUGGUUGAUACUGCCUGUCUAGACCGAGGACUGCGUCUUUUGACUAGGAUGUUGGCAUAAUGAUCUUAAGCCACCCGUCUUGAAACACGGACCAAGGAGUCUAACGUCUAUGCGAGUGUUUGGGUGUAAAACCCGUACGCGUAAUGAAAGUGAACGUAGGUGAGAGCUCUUAAGAGUGCAUCAUCGACCGAUCCUGAUGUCUUCGGAUGGAUUUGAGUAAGAGCAUAGCUGUUGGGACCCGAAAGAUGGUGAACUAUGCCUGAAUAGGGUGAAGCCAGAGGAAACUCUGGUGGAGGCUCGUAGCGGUUCUGACGUGCAAAUCGAUCGUCGAAUUUGGGUAUAGGGGCGAAAGACUAAUC
rnacentral:rRNA from 1 species